rnacentral:rRNA from 1 species
AGUGAACGCUGGCGGUAGGCCUAACACAUGCAAGUCGAACGGCAGCACAGUAAGAGCUUGCUCUUACGGGUGGCGAGUGGCGGACGGGUGAGGAAUACAUCGUAAUCUACUUUUUCGUGGGGGAUAACGUAGGGAAACUUACGCUAAUACCGCAUACGACCUACGGGUGAAAGCAGGGGAUCUUCGGACCUUGCGCGAUUGAAUGAGCCGAUGUCGGAUUAGCUAGUUGGCGGGGUAAAGGCCCACCAAGGCGACGAUCCGUAGCUGGUCUGAGAGGAUGAUCAGCCACACUGGAACUGAGGCACGGUCCAGACUCCUACGGGAGGCAGCAGUGGGGAAUAUUGGACAGUGGGCGCAAGCCUGAUCCAGCCAUACCGCGUGGGUGAAGAAGGCCUUCGGGUUGUAAAGCCCUUUUGUUGGGAAAGAAAAGCAGCAGGUUAAUACCCCGCUGUUCUGACGGUACCCGAAGAAUAAGCACCGGCUAACUUCGUG